rnacentral:rRNA from 1 species
UAGAGAGAAGAAAGAGAAAAGCACNUUGAAAAGAGAGUCAAACAGUNCGUGAAAUGGUUGAAAGNNAAGCGCUUGCAAUCAGACUCGNAUGCAGAAGUUCAGCCUUCUUUCGAGAUGGUGUAUUCUUCUGUCAACGGUCCUUUUUCANUUUCGGCGGNUGGAUAAAGACUUUGAGAACGUAUCUCUCUUNAAAGAGUGUUAUAGCUCGGAGUGUAAUGCAGAAGCUGAGACUGAGGUCCGCGCUUUUGCUAGGAU